CCCUUAGAUGUUCUGGGCUGCACGCGCGCUACACUGAAGCGUUCAACGAGUAUUCACCUUGCCCGGGAGGGUUGGGUAAUCUUUUGAAAACGCUUCGUGAUGGGGAUAGAUUAUUGCAAUUAUUAAUCUUCAACGAGGAAUUCCUAGUAAGCGCGAGUCAUCAGCUCGUGCUGAUUACGUCCCUGCCCUUUGUACACACCGCCCGUCGCACCUACCGAUUGAAUGUUUCGGUGAAGAUUCCGGAUAGGACUUUUUUGAUUUAUUUCAAUUUUGUCUUAAAAGCUAUCUAAACCUCAACAUUUAGAGGAAGGUGAAGUCGUAACA
rnacentral:rRNA from 1 species